UACGAAGGGGGCUAGCGUUGUUCGGAUUUACUGGGCGUAAAGCGCACGUAGGCGGAUCGUUAAGUCGGGGGUGAAAUCCUGGAGCUCAACUCCAGAACUGCCUUCGAUACUGGCGAUCUUGAGUCCGGAAGAGGUGAGUGGAACUCCUAGUGUAGAGGUGGAAUUCGUAGAUAUUCGGAAGAACACCAGUGGCGAAGGCGGCUCACUGGACUGGUAUUGACGCUGAGGUGCGAAAGCGUGGGGAGCAAACAGG
rnacentral:rRNA from 1 species